rnacentral:rRNA from 1 species
UACGGAGGGCGCAAGCGUUAUCCGGAUUCACUGGGUUUAAAGGGUGCGUAGGUGGGUUGGUAAGUCAGUGGUGAAAUCCCCGAGCUUAACUUGGGAACUGCCAUUGAUACUAUCAGUCUUGAAUACCGUGGAGGUCAGCGGAAUAUGUCAUGUAGCGGUGAAAUGCUUAGAUAUGACAUAGAACACCAAUUGCGAAGGCAGCUGGCUACUCGGAUAUUGACACUGAGGCACGAAAGCGUGGGGAUCAAACAGG